rnacentral:lncRNA from 1 species
AUCAGUGUCUACACUUCUUAUGAGCAGACAAGAGCAGCAUCUGUGGCUGGAAGUUAAGUGUCCAUUUAGUCAACAAAUAUUUAUGAAGUGUCUGUGUAUCAGGCCCUAUGUUAGACCCUGGAUGAGGAACAAAUCAGUUUCUUCAAAAAAGCCCCAAUCUAUGCAAGAGGAAUCACAAUUUGUGGCCCAGUAACAGCUCCACAUAUCACCAUCACCACCACCAGAAAAAAAAAACUAAUUCAUACAAAUAAAGAAAUCUAGAUGAAUUUGAGAAAUUCGUCAUCGUUCCCUCCAAACUCUGUUUUGUCCAAUAGUCAAAAACAAAAAUGGAACCACCUUAUUGUUCAGAAUGUUUGUCUAAGCGUGUGACAUUAUGUUUGGCACCAAGAAUACAAAACUGAAUGGGUUCUGCUCAAGCUCUUUAGAUACUUUGCCAAUGAUGAAGGAAACAUAUUUGUAUUAUU